UCGGGUGUGGUGCACGGUGCACGGCAGCUUCAUGUUUCCAGAAAGUAUUUAUGUCAUUUACGCUGCAGACCGGGGUUCGACUCCCCGCACCCGAA